GAAUCCCGUCUUUGACAUGGACUGCCAGGGCUCAACAGGUGUGCUCUCGAAGAGUCGAGUUGUUUGGGAAUGCAGCUCAAAAUGGGUGGUAAAUGCCAUCUAAAGCUAAAUAUUGGCGAGAGACCGAUAGCGAACAAGUAUCGUGAGGGAAAGAUGAAAAGAACUUUGGAAAGAGAGUUAAACAGUACGUGAAAUUGCUGAAAGGGAAACGCUUGAAGUCAGUCGCGUCAGCUGGAAAUCAACCCUGCUUUUGCUGGGCGCACUUUCCUGUCUGACGGGUCAGCAUCAGUUCUGGUCGCUGGAUAAAGUCCUUGGGAACGUGGCAUCCUUUGGAUGUGUUAUAGCCCACUGGCGCAUGCAGCGGCUGGGAUUGAGGAACUCAGCACGGCCCUCGCGAGAGGGCGAUUGGAGGGAGACCUCACAACUUACGUGCUUAGGAUGCUGGCAUAAUGGCUUUAAUCGACCCGUCUUGAAACACGGACCAAGGAGUCUAACAUGCCUGCGAGUGUUUGGGUGGUGAAAACUCAUGCGCGCAAUGAAAGUGAUGGUUGAGAUCCCUGUCAUGGGGAGCAUCGACGCCCAGACCAGACCUUUUGCGACGGAUCUGCGGUAGAGCAUGCAUGUUGGGACCCGAAAGAUGGUGAACUAUGCCUGAAUAGGGUGAAGCCAGAGGAAACUCUGGUGGAGGCUCGUAGCGAUUCUGACGUGCAAAUCGAUCGUCAAAUUUGGGUAUAGGGGCGAAAGACUAAUCGAACCAUCUAGUAGCUGGUUCCUGCC
rnacentral:rRNA from 1 species